UAGGGAAUCUUCGGCAAUGGACGAAAGUCUGACCGAGCAACGCCGCGUGAGUGAAGAAGGUUUUCGGAUCGUAAAACUCUGUUGUUAGAGAAGAACAAGGACGUUAGUAACUGAACGUCCCCUGACGGUAUCUAACCAGAAAGCCACGGCUAACUACGUGCCAGCAGCCGCGGUAAUACGUAGGUGGCAAGCGUUGUCCGGAUUUAUUGGGCGUAAAGCGAGCGCAGGCGGUUUCUUAAGUCUGAUGUGAAAGCCCCCGGCUCAACCGGGGAGGGUCAUUGGAAACUGGGAGACUUGAGUGCAGAAGAGGAGAGUGGAAUUCCAUGUGUAGCGGUGAAAUGCGUAGAUAUAUGGAGGAACACCAGUGGCGAAUGCGGCUCUCCGGUCUGUAACUGACGCUGAGGCUCGAAAGCGUGGGGAGCAAACAGG
rnacentral:rRNA from 1 species